ACUUUUAUGGCAUGGUUUAUAAAAAUAGACAGUCCUCAUAAAGAGCCGCCGUUGCCAACCAAAAGCCUGUCAAGGGCCCAGAGAUUCUAUUUCAAGGCUAACAACUCGAGUUCCUCACAUGUCUCCACUAAUGAUGCCCCGCGUGACCUUGAGCCUCUAGCCUAAAUGUCUUGUUCCUCAUUUUCUCUGUCUGUAAAAGGGGGAUAAUGACACUAGCUGCUGGAUCAUGUUGGCAACAUGCUUAGAAAUCCCCAGAUCAAAGGUGCGCUGCCUGGACCAAACAAGAUGAUGAUGGUGCUUGCCAUCAUUAGUGUUGUUAUUAUUAUUGUUGUUGUUGAGGGUGCCCAUCUUGCAGCCCAGGAAGUAAGCAUGACUCCCAUGACUGAUUCAGCACCAAGGCCGACUAAGGAGGAGUUCCCAGCGCUACAGGAGUCAUUGAUAUAGAGACCGCCCAUUUCAAUGACGUCACAUGAUGGCACAUUCCUAGGCUCCCCGAGUGGAGCAAGGUGCUCUCCUCCCUCCUAGGAGGACCAUGCCUAGUGCAUCUCCAAGAGGACCAGAGGUCAGUGGUGAAGGAAGGAAAUGGCUGAUCACAUCUACUUCCGGAAUCUUCCAUCUAAACCCUCAACACUUGAACCUAAAACUACUUGCCACCUCAGUUUGGAAAUUCCACCAUGCUUUGAAUGGCAAAAGAUCCUCAGGAUGUAAGCAAGUGGAACAUGGAAGGUGCCACAUGUGCAUUAAUUUGUCACAUAUCAUCCUGCCACAAGCCAGCACUGGUGGACAGAGAGAAAUAGAGGGGAGGCUGAAGGGGAGAUGCCUGCAGUGCUCUGUGAAUGAGAAAAGGUCAGUGGAAUGAGAACCAAGCAAUGGUACUAUGACUAGGAGCAAGAUGGGAAGGAUAAGUAAAGAUAUGUAUCAAAAGUUCUUUUUAAAAAAUGUGCAUCCCCUACAGCCCAGCAAUUCCAUUUCUAGGGGGUUAUUUUAAGAUAACCAGACAAGUACACAAUGAUUAUCUACAAAGAUGUUACAUGCAGAAUUGUUCACAGUGGAAAAAAAUUAGAAACAGUAGGGAACAGAUAUGUAAAUAACUGUGCCCUUGCAAUAGAGCAUUAUGUAACUAUUAAAAAAUGAUGAUCUGAUUAAGUGAAAAAACAGGUUUCUUAGCAAAAAGAGCAACACAGUCACAUUAUAUACAUGGUACGUAAAUAUUAGCAGUAGCUAGUCUGGGGUGAGAUGCUCUCUGAUUUAUUUAUCCAUAUUUUCUAAAUUUUUGACAAGGAACAAUUAUUAUUAUUUUUUUUAAUAAAAGAAAGUAAUGGCAGUGCCUGGCUGGUUCA
rnacentral:lncRNA from 12 species